CUAAAUACGAUAAAAAUAGGUUGAUAGAUCUAGUAAGUCUAUCAUGAAAAGGGAAGACCGGUGAACAAUCCGGCGCGGUCCCGCCACUGUAAAUGGGAGCUCUUUGCAUUAUGCCACUGUUCAUAAUGGGAAGGUUGUAAAAGAGUGUUGAUCAUGAGCCAGGAGACCUGCCUGUUUUUUUAAUCACCA
rnacentral:ncRNA from 2 species